GUGACCUCCAAUCAGGUAGGACUACCCGCUGAACUUAAGCAUAUCAAUAAGCGGAGGAAAAGAAACUAACAAGGAUUCCCCUAGUAACUGCGAGUGAAGCGGGAAAAGCUCAAAUUUAAAAUCUGCCGGUCUUUUGGCUGUCCGAGUUGUAAUCUAGAGAAGUGUUAUCCGCGCUGGACCGUGUACAAGUCUCCUGGAAUGGAGCAUCAUAGAGGGUGAGAAUCCCGUCUUUGACAU
rnacentral:rRNA from 1 species